AGAUUGGUAUUUCAAAAUUUAAUAAUUUUUUUUUACAGAUUCGGUAUUUCGGUAGCUGAAAAUGUGGGUUUCUGAAAAAAAAAAAUCGAUUCUAAAACUAAUCGAUUCUAAAAAUGUUGUCAAUCUAGGCACCGGCGCAUGCGCAUUGAGGCUUUUAGCUCAAGAAUCAAAAGACAGAUCAAGUACGUCAGCGGAUCUUUGGGGGAUACGAAAUGGUCUCGUGUGAACGAAUGUAUGUACAGAAAAAAAUGUAUGACUUUACAGCCAGAAAUAGAUUCCAAAAUUUCGAUACAUUUCUAAAACAUAUUGCCGAGGUAAAUUCCAACGGCACACACGUAAAAUAAGAAAAGUGAAAAUAAUAUCAAAGAAAUUUCAUGUUAAACCCUUGGUCUGCAUAAUUUUCAAUAAAUACCAGCGUCCUACACUUCAAUAUUCAUUGAAAAUGUGCACCCUACUUCACGAAAUGUUAAACCAGCUUGCUCCAGAAUUUCGAUACAUUUCUAAAACAUAUUGCCGAGGUUUAUCACCACAAAAUUUCAACGGUAUGUAAAUGCGCGACAUUUUGUAGAAAAAACACCUUCAGUCGUAAAAAACAAAAAAAAUUGAACACUUUAGUUUCACUUUCUGUCACAUUGUACCUCAUUUUACCCCGGGAAUUUUCUCUGAAAGACAUCUCUGCAGAAAGAUUCUCAAAACACUAUCAGAGAACACAUCUUCAAAUGCCAACAAGGAAGCCCACCAGUAUUUAGUAACACUCUUCUGAUUUUUUUAGCAAAUGAUGAUCCAGUACUAGACAUAAUUAUGUGAGGAUAUUUAAAUCUACUAUAAUGGUGUGUUGAACUGAUUAGAUUCCAAGUUACAUUGUCUCUCCUUUAAAUUUUCAACACAAAAUUGACUCUUCCCAUGAGCAUCAU